rnacentral:lncRNA from 1 species
ACAUGUUAUAAGUCCUAGGUGUAGAGUUUAGUAAUCUGAUUACAUGCAUUUAAAAAUUAAAUUAUUUAAUUUACAUAUUCUGCUGCAUUAUAUUUUAAAAAUAUUUUGAAAUUCAUGCAUGAAAUUCUGCACUUUUUUCAUCACCCUGUACAUUAGUUAUCCUCUUUAUAAAGGAGUGUGAAGACAAUGACAUGAUAUGCAAGUG